rnacentral:rRNA from 2 species
UUCGUCGACAACAGAGUUUGAUCCUGGCUCAGAACGAACGCUGGCGGCAGGCUUAACACAUGCAAGUCGAGCGCCCGCAAAGGGGAGCGGCAAGACGGGUGAGUUACGCGUGGGAAAGUACCUUUUGCUACGGAAUAACUCAGGGAAACUUGUGCUAAUACCGUAUGUGCCCUUCGGGGGAAAGAUUUAUCGGCAAAGGAUCGGCCCGCGUUGGAUUAGCUAGUUGGUGAGGUAAAGGCUCACCAAGGCGACGAUCCAUAGCUGGUCUGAGAGGAUGAUCAGCCACACUGGGACUGAGACACGGCCCAGACUCCUACGGGAGGCAGCAGUAGGGAAUAUUGGACAAUGGGCGCAAGCCUGAUCCAGCCAUACCGCGUGAGUGAUGAAGGCCCUAGGGUUGUAAAGCUCUUUCACCGGUGAAGAUAAUGACGGUAACCGGAGAAGAAGCCCCGGCUAACUUCGUGCCAGCAGCCGCGGUAAUACGAAGGGGGCUAGCGUUGUUCGGAUUUACUGGGCGUAAAGCGCACGUAGGCGGACUUUUAAGUCAGGGGUGAAAUCCCGGGGCUCAACCCCGGAACUGCCUUUGAUACUGGAAGUCUUGAGUAUGGUAGAGGUGAGUGGAAUUCCGAGUGUAGAGGUGAAAUUCGUAGAUAUUCGGAGGAACACCAGUGGCGAAGGCGGCUCACUGGACCAUUACUGACGCUGAGGUGCGAAAGCGUGGGGAGCAAACAAGAUUAGAUACCCUGGUAGUCCACGCCGUAAACGAUGAAAAAUUAACCGUUGGGGAGUUUACUCUUCGGUGGCGCAGCUAACGCAUAAACAUACCCCCGGGACGACGCAAUAAAAUC